GCAAGUCGAACGAGAAAGCAUCCUUCGGGGUGUGAGUAAAGUGGCGAACUGGUGAGAAACAGGUGGGUAAUGUGCCUUUUGGUGGGGGAUAGCCAUCGGAAACGAUGGGUAAUACCGCAUAAGACUCAAGAAUCGAUGGUUUUUUGAGUGACAGGUGCGCUUCGCGCGUGCCGCCGAAAGAGCAGCCCGCCCCCGAUUAGCUAGUUGGUAAGGUAAUGGCUUACCAAGGCUACGAUCGGUAGGUGGCCUGAGAGGGUGGGC
rnacentral:rRNA from 1 species